rnacentral:sRNA from 1 species
GCAGAUGCCAAGAAACAACAACAGAUGGCAAGUCUGUCGGUGGAGAGGGAUACUUUACAGAGCACAAUUAAAACCUACAAAUCUAUGUUUGAAACACAACAACAGCUCAUUGCAGAACUCAGAGCUGCUGUGAAUGAAACCUUGAAGGAAGAACAAAAUCUGAGAGGUGAACUCAGAAAAC